CAGAAUAUAGUUUAAAAAAAAUAUUAGUUUUGGAGACUAAAGAUAAAAUUUAGUUAUUUAUUCUGA
rnacentral:tRNA from 1 species